rnacentral:rRNA from 1 species
GACGAACCGUGCGAACGUUGUUCGGAAUCACUGGGCUUAAAGGGCGCGUAGGCGGGCUGACAAGUCUGGGGUGAAAUCCCGCGGCUCAACCGUGGAACUGCCUUAGAUACUGUCGGCCUCGAGGAAGGUAGGGGCAUGCGGAACUGUAGGUGGAGCGGUGAAAUGCGUAGAUAUUGGGAGGAACACCAGUGGCGAAGGCGGCUACCUGGACCGGUUCUGACGCUGAGGCGCGAAAGCGUGGGUAGCAAACAGG